GUGCCAGCCGCCGCGGUAAUACGGAGGAUCCAAGCGUUAUCCGGAAUCAUUGGGUUUAAAGGGUCCGUAGGCGGUUUUAUAAGUCAGUGGUGAAAUCUGGUCGCUCAACGAUCAAACGGCCAUUGAUACUGUAGAACUUGAAUUACUUGGAAGUAACUAGAAUAUGUAGUGUAGCGGUGAAAUGCUUAGAGAUUACAUGGAAUACCAAUUGCGAAGGCAGGUUACUACGAGUACAUUGACGCUGAUGGACGAAAGCGUGGGGAGCGAACAGGAUUAGAUACCCUGGUAGUCCACGCCGUAAACGAUGGAUACUAGCUGUUUGGAGCAAUCUGAGUGGCUAAGCGAAAGUGAUAAGUAUCCCACCUGGGGAGUACGCUCGCAAGAGUGAA
rnacentral:rRNA from 1 species